rnacentral:rRNA from 1 species
UGUGCGAAGAAGGCCUUCGGGUUGUAAAGCACUUUUGUCAGGGAAGAAAUCCCUUGGGCUAAUACCCUAGGGGGAUGACGGUACCUGAAGAAUAAGCACCGGCUAACUACGUGCCAGCAGCCGCGGUAAUACGUAGGGUGCAAGCGUUAAUCGGAACUACUGGGCGUAAAGCGUGCGCAGGCGGUUGUGUAAGACAGGUGUGAAAUCCCCGGGCUUAACCUGGGAAUUGCAUUUGUGACUGCACGACUAGAGUGUGUCAGAGGGGGGUGGAAUUCCACGUGUAGCAGUGAAAUGCGUAGAUAUGUGGAGGAACACCAAUGGCGAAGGCAGCCCCCUGGGAUAACACUGACGCUCAUGCACGAAAGCGUGGGGAGCAAACAGGAUUAGAUACCCUGGUAGUCCACGCCCUAAACGA